UACGUAGGGUGCGAGCGUUAAUCGGAAUUACUGGGCGUAAAGCGUGCGUAGGCGGUUCGUUAAGUCAGCUGUGAAAGCCCCGGGCUCAGCCUGGGAAUUGCGGUUGAAACUGGCGAACUAGAAUCUGGCAGAGGGGGGUGGAAUUCCACGUGUAGCAGUGAAAUGCGUAGAGAUGUGGAGGAACACCGAUGGCGAAGGCAGCCCCCUGGGCUGAGAUUGACGCUCAGGCACGAAAGCGUGGGGAGCAAACAGG
rnacentral:rRNA from 1 species